CAUGCAAGUCGAGCGCAGGAAACUGACGGAACUCUUCGGAGGGAAGGCAGCGGAAUGAGCGGCGGACGGGUGAGUAACACGUAAGGAACCUGCCUCAAGGAUUGGGAUAACUCCGAGAAAUCGGAGCUAAUACCGGAUAGUUCAUCGGACCGCAUGGUCCGUUGAUGAAAGGCGCUCCGGCGUCACCUUGAGAUGGCCUUGCGGUGCAUUAGCUAGUUGGUGGGGUAACGGCCCACCAAGGCGACGAUGCAUAGCCGACCUGAGAGGGUGAUCGGCCACACUGGGACUGAGACACGGCCCAGACUCCUACGGGAGGCAGCAGUAGGGAAUCUUCCACAAUGGACGAAAGUCUGAUGGAGCAACGCCGCGUGAGUGAUGAAGGUUUUCGGAUCGUAAAACUCUGUUGUAAGGGAAGAACACGUACGAGAGGGAAUGCUCGUACCUUGACGGUACCUUACGAGAAAGCCACGGCUAACUACGUGCCAGCAGCCGCGGUAAUACGUAGGUGGCAAGCGUUGUCCGGAAUUAUUGGGCGUAAAGCGCGCGCAGGCGGCCUUUUAAGUCUGAUGUGAAAGCCCCCGGCUCAACCGGGGAGGGCCAUUGGAAACUGGAAGGCUUGAGUACAGAAGAGAAGAGUGGAAUUCCACGUGUAGCGGUGAAAUGCGUAGAGAUGUGGAGGAACACCAGUGGCGAAGGCGACUCUUUGGUCUGUAACUGACGCUGAGGCGCGAAAGCGUGGGGAGCAAACAGGAUUAGAUAC
rnacentral:rRNA from 1 species